rnacentral:rRNA from 1 species
GUAGCUGCGAGCGAACAGGGAAGAGCCCAGCACCGAAUCCCGCGGCCGAUACCGGGCGCCGGGAAAUGUGGUGUUAGGGAGGGUCCAUUAUCCCGAGAUCAUGCGGCGCGUCCAAGUCCUUCUUGAACGGGGCCACAGCCCAUAGAGGGUGCCAGGCCCGUAGUGACCGCUGCUGAUCGCGGGAGGAUCUCUCCUCAGAGUCGGGUUGCUUGAGAGUGCAGCCCUAAGCGGGUGGUAAACUCCAUCUAAGGCUAAAUAUGACCACGAGACCGAUAGCGAACAAGUACCGUGAGGGAAAGUUGAAAAGCACUUUGAAGAGAGAGUUCAAGAGUACGUGAAACCGUUUAGGGGUAAACCUGAGAAGCCCGAAAGGUCGAAGGGAGAAAUUCAUUCGCGUUUCGCCGUCGGCGUGAGACGGUCGUGUGACGGAGGACGUUCGCGUUUUCCGCACCUUCCGUUUUUCGAUCCGAUAGCGAACGCGUGCACUUUUUCUCCUGGUAGGACGUCGCGAUCCGUUUGGGUGUCGGUCUACGGCUCGCGGUGGAGCCCGGACGUACGGGCUUGCCGUCAACGUUCGGACCCGCGUGUCCCGGGCUGACUCGCUCGACGGGUAUACGAAAAGGGUUUAAGGGCCGCUAUUUUUAGCGUUCGGGCUCGUUGCAAGCGCGUCAGAUGUUGUCGGGCGAUCGGGACCUAGUGCCGGUUCUGACCCUUCUGGCGACUGU